UGUUACUUUGUCCUGCAGCCAGGAAGGGAGUCAUGUGACCCGCGUCUGCAUGCUUUAUUAUGACUCCGUUCCAUCAACAAGAACGGUUCCACUCCGGGAGGCAGGGCACUGUUAAGGAAGCAGCUGUUCUGUCCCGGCUCGUUGCUCAGUCCUUUACUGGGAGCGAUUGAGGUCACGGUGCGAGGCGUGAGCAUUCCCUGCAUCCCGCCACCUGUGACGCCUCCAGUUGCUGCGCUGAUGCCCGCCCCCGCGCCAGCGCAGACGCCCGCCGCCGGGUAGUUCCUCUUCCAGGACAUGAUGGAUGGCGGGCCGCCUCCCCGCUGCGCACGACCCCGGCGGGGAUCAGCUCCCGAGCCUCCGUCGCAUCCAGGCGGCCAUUUCGAAAGGCAGCCACUGCGCUUGAUGGAUCAGUGCAGUAAGGUCAGGAAUCCCUGGUGUUUUCUUGAACGUCCGAAGGUGACACUUACGUUCCGGCGGGGUAGAAAACUCCAACGGAUUCCAGACUAUUAAGGGCGCUGAUGCUGGCUGAUGAAUACCCCUUUCAUGCUGCCUGAUGAACUUUGACCUCCUCUCGAAAGUCCUUCAGCUGCAGUGGAUAGACAAAUGGGAAGCCGGGUCAGAGGCAGCGACGCCUCAGCCGAGACAACAUAACAAGAAAGAAGGAGGACGUCACUUUUGCCUUAAUCAAUCCUGCCAGACUGAGUUGAGGGUGAAUGAAAGAGACAACAACAAUGAAAAAGAUGAUUUCCGUUUCCCUCAGGACUAUUUCAAUAAAUAACUAUUUUCCUGUGAAAGUCUUAAAAGAGUAAAUCUUCAAGGGUUGGCAGACGAUGAUAUGUGAACAACUCUGUCAUAAUGCGCCAAACAAACAUUUUCAAUGGGAUACAGGUCAGGACUACAGGGAGGCCAGUCUAGUACCC